CGGGCGAGGCGCCGGUCUAAGUCCCUUGGAACGGGGCGUCAUAGAGGGUGAGAAUCCCGUAUGUGACCGGUGAUCGAGCCCAGGUGAAACCCCUUCGACGAGUCGAGUUGUUUGGGAAUGCAGCUCAAAACGGGUGGUAAAUUUCAUCUAAAGCUAAAUACCGGCCAGAGACCGAUAGCGCACAAGUAGAGUGAUCGAAAGAUGAAAAGCACUUUGGAAAGAGAGUCAAACAGUACGUGAAAUUGUUGAAAGGGAAGCGCUUGCAACCAGACCUGCCCGCGGGCGAUCAGCCGUCCUUCGGGGCGGUGCACUCGCCCGCGAUCAGGCCAGCAUCGGUUCGGGCGGUCGGAUAAAGGCCCUGGGAACGUAGCUCCCUUCGGGGAGUGUUAUAGCCCUCGGUGCAAUGCGGCCUGCCCGGACCGAGGACCGCGCUUCGGCUAGGAUGCUGGCGUAAUGGUUGUAAGCGGCCCGUCUUGAAACACGGACCAAGGAGUCGACCAACUAUGCGAGUGUUUGGGCGUCAAACCCACACGCGCAAUGAAAGUGAACGGAGGUGGGAACCCCCUCGCGGGGCGCACCAUCGACCGAUCCAGAUGUCUUCGGAUGGAUUUGAGUACGAGCAUGGCUGGUCGGACCCGAAAGAUGGUGAACUAUGCCUGAAUAGGGUGAAGCCAGAGGAAACUCUGGUGGAGGCUCGCAGCGGUUCUGACGUGCAAAUCGAUCGUCAAAUUUGGGCAUAGGGGCGAAAGACUAAUCGAACCAUC
rnacentral:rRNA from 1 species